AUAAGAAGCAAUAAUUUGCAAUUAGUUUCGACCUAAUCUUUGGCUUUUGCCCUUAUUUU
rnacentral:tRNA from 1 species